UCGAGAAUCAUUCGCAAUGGGCGAAAGCCUGACGAUGCGACGCCGUGUGAGCGAAGAAGGCCUUAGGGUCGUAAAGCUCUUUCGCUUGGGAACAAGAUGAGCUGGCUAAUAUCCAGUGAUUUUGAGCGUACCAGGUAAAGAAGCACCGGCUAACUCCGUGCCAGCAGCUGCGGUAAUACGGAGGGUGCAAGCAUUAAUCGGAUUUAUUGGGCGUAAAGGGCGCGUAGGCGGGGAUGAAAGUCAGAUGUGAAAUCCCGAGGCUCAACCUCGGAACAGCAUUUGAAACUCCAUCUCUUGAGGAUAGGCGGGGAAAACGGAAUUCCACAAGUAGCGGUGAAAUGCGUAGAUAUGUGGAAGAACACCGGUGGCGAAGGCGGUUUUCUAGCUUAUUCCUGACGCUAAAGCGCGAAAGCAAGGGGAUCAAACAGGAUUAGAUACCCCUGUAGUCC
rnacentral:rRNA from 1 species